rnacentral:snRNA from 1 species
GUGGACCCUGUGCAUCAGCUCU